GGAUGUGAGGGUGAUCUGGCUGUGACAUCUGUCACCCCAUUGAUCUCGGGGGUUGAUUAGACUGAUCUGGCUGGCUAGGCGGGUGUCCCCUUCCUCCCUCAGCACUCCAUGUGCGCCCCUCCUGAAGCUGCAUACUCAGUCUAAGAGGACGACCACUCCUGAUAGAGGAGGACUGUUCCUCAGUCAAGGGUAUGCGAGUAGCUGUGCUCCCCUGCUAGCACCUCCAAACAACAAAAAAAAUUAAUUCCUAUGAACCACUCAUUUCACACCUAUGACUCACCGUUAUCCUAAGUAGCAUAA
rnacentral:sRNA from 1 species